rnacentral:tRNA from 1 species
GAUUCAGUAGCUCAGCAGGUAGAGCAACGGCCUUUUAAGCCGUGGGUCCUGGGUUCGAAUCCCAGCUGGAUCAC